rnacentral:rRNA from 1 species
GACGAACGCUGGCGGCGUGCUUAACACAUGCAAGUCGAGCGGUAAGGCCCUUUCGGGGGUACACGAGCGGCGAACGGGUGAGUAACACGUGGGUGACCUGCCCUUAGCUCUGGGAUAAGCCUGGGAAACUGGGUCUAAUACCGGAUAUGACUCCAUGACGCAUGUUGUGGGGUGGAAAGCCUUGUGUGGCUAGAGAUGGGCCCGCGGCCUAUCAGCUUGUUGGUGGGGUGAUGGCCUACCAAGGCGA